ACAAGUGGACAGCUCUAAGUACAGGUCUAAAUGCACCCAAGACGCAUUGGGGACACAUUGAGACCAGAUUGCUCAGACCACAUUUGGAGGUGGUCUGGGCCCCAUAUGGUGACAUUAUUUUAGGAAUGUGUACGCAAAUGUGUCCUAGGCCACAUUGAAGGACCACCUACUCUACUGACGUCCUCUGCGUAAGCGGAUGUAUGUACUCAUUCGCAAACAUUAUAAGUCGUACAAAUCGUGUAAGUUGGCUUUGUCCAAAACAUCUGAAAAUUUGGAAAAGCCCAUAGAGAUAUAUUACGAGUGCGUCAAACAUCUAGGGUGAUUUGGUUUGUCUGGAACACGCCAAGGAACAGACCCGAGCGGGGAGGUGAAAUACGAUCGCAAGUGGUUACUCAAGACACAUGUGGACGUACGUACAGAGCUGUCCACAUGUGAUCAGAUCACCCUAGACGCACGUUAAUGUCAGCAAUUUCUGAUCCAACCUCAGUAUCAACUUUCUUCCCAUGAGUCAACUGAGGUGGUGAUUCCUUCAACUCAUUACAACAUGACCUACUCAGACCAAAACUCUCUUUCUUAAGCUGGAGUUGCAUGUUUCCUCUGUCUGAAUGCCAUUAGUCACAGCCAGUGGUUGUUCCCUCUUAUUAAAUUCGCUUUGAACACAGUCUGUCUCAUUAAAUAAAAAACACAGCAUUGUGCAAAGUACA